rnacentral:rRNA from 1 species
UACAGAGGUCUCAAGCGUUGUUCGGAUUCAUUGGGCGUAAAGGGUGCGUAGGUGGCGCGUUAAGUCAGGUGUGAAAUUUCGGAGCUUAACUCCGAAACUGCAUUUGAUACUGGCGUGCUUGAGGACUGGAGAGGAGACUGGAAUUCAUGGUGUAGCAGUGAAAUGCGUAGAGAUCAAUGAGGAAGACCAGUGGCGAAGGUGGGUC